GGGCGGAGCCAUCGUGAAGCCGGAGGCUGAGCUGAGCAAAGGAACUAGGGGUGCGGCGCGGUGCCUGCCAACGCCCAGGUGCGGUGGGUAUGGGGAAUGGCGCUGACCCUGGAGACCUCGAUCCCCUGCGCCGCUCUUGCAGCUCAGGCUGCAGAAUUGUGUAACCCGUGACCUCCGGUUCCCCCUCCGCCGCGACUGCACGGCCACCCCGGCCCUGCUACCCGUGCUGCGUAGUUCGCUGACUUGUGCGCCCGCCCACGGAUCUGCUUCUGAGUCCCGCCGCCAGCGCCAGCGAAGCCUCCUUCCUCCAGCGCAGAUCAACAAAAGAGAUUCUUGGGUCCUAGAGACCAAAGAAAGAAUCAGCAGGAAUGCCCAUGGUGAAUGAUGGAUUGCAGAGCCUGGCUGGCACAUUUUGUGCCCUCCCCACCUCCAAAUUGCCUCAGUUACAAAUCAGAAGGCAGGCUUGGUGACCAGGACUGGCAAGCACAUUUUAAAGUCCCAUGCUGUGGAGUUGAUCCAUCUCAACUUGAGUCAGAAGAGGCAGAAGUGGAUGUGAGAGAAAGAGACACACAGAGAGACAGAGAGCCAAAGAGGGCAAGAGACUUGACUUUAAGAGACUCCUGUACUGACAACUCCAUGCAGUUUGGAACCAGAACGAGUGCGGCUGAACCAGGGUUCAUGGGGACAUGGCAAAACGCUGAUACUAACCUCUUAUUCAGAAUGUCCCAACAGGUACGCCUUGUUGGAAUUGACAUUUUCACUGGCAGAAAACAUGAAGAUAUCUGUCCCUCUACUCACAACAUGGAUGUUCCAAAUAUUAAGAGAAAUGAUUAUUAAGGUGCAGUUCCCUCCUUUUUGAGGUUUCCAUUCAUUAUCCUUUGAAGGACUGGAUUUGUGGAAAGAUCCAUUAAUGCAUCCAAGAAGAGUAUCAAGAAAGCUUUCUCACUGAAGAUAUUCACUGAGGACAUCGCAACCUGUGACUGUAUAUGUGAAUACAAAACCAAAACUGAUAUUUCAAGUUCAUGACUAGGAGUGACAGGCAAUUUGUAGAAUAAUGGAAGAUGGAGACAUAGGAGGGUAGAGGAGAGAGAUAGGAUGAAUUUUUGCAUAUGGAAAAUCUAAGUGGAUAUGGCAUGCACCCAUGUUUAUAUGUGAUAUGAAGAAAGCAACAUGAAACAAGAUUGAUCCACAUGCUAAAGCAGAAUAAAGAAAAAAAUAUUUUUUCUUUUUCUAAGAUGACUGAAAGUUACAUCAGGUAGUUGCUUCAUCAUACAUUUCCAUUCCAGGUACUGGCAGAGCCUCUCAGGAGACAGCUAAAUCAGGCUUCUGUCAACAAGCACUUGUUGGCAUCCACAAUAGUGUCUGUAUAUGGGAUAUUGGUGACUAUAUAUGGAAUGGAACCCCAGGUGGGUCAGUCUCUGGAUGGUCUUUCCUUCAGUCUCUGCUCCACACUUUGUCUAUCUUCUCUCAUGGGUAUUUUGUUCCACCUUCUAAGAAGGACCUACGUAUCCAUACUUUGGUUUUUCAUCUUCUUGAGCUUAAUUUGUCUGUAAAUUGUAUCAUGGGUAUUCCAAACUUCUGGGCUAACAUCCACUUAUCACUGAGUGCAUACCAUGUGUGUUCUUUUGUGAUUGGGUUACCUCACUCAGGAUGAAAUUUUCUAUUUCUAUCCAUUUGCCAAGAAUUUCAUGAAUUCAAUGUUUUAAAUAGCUGAGUAGUAUUCCAUUGUGUAAAUAUUCCACAUUUUAUGUAUCCAUUCCUCUGUUGAGAGACAUCUGGGUUCUUUCCAGUUUCCAGCUAUUAUAAAUCAGGCUGAACCUAGUGGAGCGUUUUCUGGUAUAUGCCAGGAGUGGUAUAGCUGGGUUCUCAGGUCGUACUAUGAUUUUCUGAGGAACCACCAAGCUGAUUUCUAGACUGGUUGUACCAGCUUGCAAUCCCACCUCCACAUCCUUGACAGCACUCUUGUCACCUGAGUUUUUGAUCUUAGCUUUUCUGACUGAUGUGUAGCUGAAUCUCAAGGUUGUUUUGAUUUGCAUUUCCCUGAUGAGUAAUGAUGUUGAACAUUUCUUUAGGUGCUUCUCAGCCGUUCAUUAUUCCUCAGUUGAGAAUUCUUUGUUUAGCUCUCUGAGUUCAAUUCCCAUCAAAUACAUGAUAGAUCGCAUCCAUCUGUAAUAGGAUCUGAUGCCCUGUUCUGGUGUGUCUGAAGACAGGUACAGUUUACUCAUGUAAAUGAAAUGAAUGAAUUUUUUAAAAAGUGUCUAUUGUUCUAAUACUUAUAUUAUUGUUCCAUUUUCACUAUUGGAUUUAGUGUAGAUCAUAAAUUUAACUCUUACGUAGCAUGCAGAGCAUUGAAGACCAUUCCUCCUGUAAAACAGAAUAGAAUGAAGCUCAGGGAUUCACCUCUCUGACUUUUUAAAAUGCUAAUGGCUACAAAAUGUAUGUAGAGUCGAUAUUCUAACAUGUCACUGUUGAAAUUGCACUAAAAACACAAGGUGUGUAUAAUGAUCACCAUGCAAUUUGAUUUUAAUACUUUCUAGGUUAUACAAAACAGUGAUUAAAGAGAAAGUGUAGUAUAAAAGUAAUUUCUAACCAGUGACAUUAAAUAGAAUACUCAGUAACUUAGCUAAACCAGAUGUGUCCUCAGGACAGAGAAGACCAGAAGAGCAGAUAGUCCUGCCGGGAAAUGCACUCUUGCCUCCGCUGUUUGAUUUCAGCUAUGGCAAAUGCUCAGUAUUAUAGAAGAGCAAUCUUUCUGAUGUCUUUCAACACCUUUGUGACUUAGAUCCAAUUCCUUUACAGUAAACAUUUUUACUGAUUUUCACCCACGACUCUAGUGCUUUCAUAUGUUACCCUGCCAUAAUUAUUAACAAACUUGUGUGUAGUUUAGAAGAUUGGUAAUAUAUACUUUUUAUAUUUUCUUCAUGUGAUGUUGUGUUUAUUUCCCUUUUGUCCUUGAAGAAAUGUUUUCAGAAAAUAAAAAUGUUGUUCUAAUUUAAAUAAAUAUUGUUCGAGGCUUGUCAAUGCCAGCCCCUGCACUGCACCUGUGCUCACCAUUGGUCUGGUUUUCAUGAGCAGAUAGUGCUCUGUGCUCCAUGACAUUUGACAGGUAUUUCCCUUUUUUUCCUGUCAGGACAUCCUGUAGUAAUAAGAGAAAAAGGCCCCACAACACGGGGCUUAUUCAUCAUUUCUUCCAAUGAGACAUCGUGCAAAAAGCUGAAGGAAACAUUGGGUUCUAGGGAAGAAGUGGAUAUAAAAUAUCACUCAGUCCAUGAAGUGGCCUGGAUCCUAAAGAUUAGACAUGGUUGCAGUGUGGUAAGAAACAUCAUUUUUUCAUCCACAUGGAGCAAAUAUUUCAUGUUCCUGGAUUCUCCAUCUAACAUCAGCAACAUAAAGAAUUAGAACAUGGACUCAGCAGCUGCCACAGUGGGAGGACAUGGACCCCUGGCCAUUGUGCACUGGCGGAAAGUCCAGUGGCUCCUCUUCUCUAGGAGAGUAUUAUAGGAUAAAUUAUCCAUAAUUGCGGGAAGGGGCCAAAGUUCAUAUCAAAUAUUCCGAUUCGUACCAGAAAAAUCACACUGGUCCCUGAGGGAUAAGAUUUACACUGAACUACAUAUUAACUGUAGUGAAGAAUCUGUGCUCAUAGUAGCUUCCAUUUUAAAGUAUUCUACUGAAGAUGCCAUGUACAAAUUACAUCCUGCUAAAACAGCUCAUCUCUGUGCUAUUAAAAUGAAAACCUCUAUGAGGAAUCACUUAGACACCUACACCUUAUCUGUCCGCGUAGCCCCUCAUGUGCUGUGGGAUCCAACUUGCUGAACUCAUGAUUUGGGAGUGACCUCCCAAAAUAGCAGGGAAAAAUGAAACAACUUCAACAUAUAUCUUUUCACAAUGGAAAUUUCCUCAUGACUGAAGAAGUUGCUGGUCAUUUUAUUUCAAUGUUCCCUUCUACCUCCCUCUUAACCACAGCAGAAGAGAUUAUUACGAGAAACAACUUCAGUUUUAUAUUUAACCAUAUUGUUACAUAGUUUCACUCACUAUAUUUAUUUUAUGUUGUAUAUUACACAUUCUUAUCUAUUAAUAUUAAUAAAUGGUAUUAAAUUA